AGGCUUGGUUUUCCAUAGCUGAUGUUUAAGGAGGUCAUUCUGAUCUCGCUAGCUCUAUAAAGUCCUUUGUUGUCUAAUUUUUGUUCACAAAACGACCUAUACUGGAAUAGUGAUGACCAACAAUACGUGCAAUUGUCACAGCGACAUACCUGCUUCGCUCAUGCUGAUUAUCUGCCAUCUUGCUGCAAUUUAGAGUCGUUGAGGACCUAUAUCAUGGUGUCGAUCCCAUAACUUUACAAACUUGGUUAUUUUA
rnacentral:lncRNA from 1 species